rnacentral:rRNA from 1 species
CCUACGGGUGGCUGCAGUCGAGAAUCUUCGGCAAUGGACGAAAGUCUGACCGAGCGACGCCGCGUGCGGGAUGAAGGCCUUCGGGUUGUAAACCGCUGUCAGUUGGGAGGAAAUCUAUGGGGGUACUCUCCCAUAGUUGACCGAUCUUCAGAGGAAGGACGGGCUAAGUUCGUGCCAGCAGCCGCGGUAAGACGAACCGUCCAAACGUUAUUCGGUAUCACUGGGCUUAAAGCGUGCGUAGGCGGUCUGGUAGGUGGGGUGUGAAAUCCCUCGGCUCAACCGAGGAACUGCGCUCCAAACCCCCAGACUUGAGGAAGACAGGGGUGAGUGGAACUGUUGGUGGAGCGGUGAAAUGCGUUGAUAUCAACAGGAACACCGGUGGCGAAAGCGACUCACUGGGUCUUUUCUGACGCUGAGGCACGAAAGCUAGGGGAGCGAAC